rnacentral:rRNA from 1 species
AGUGAACGCUGGCGGCGUGCCUAAUACAUGCAAGUCGAACGGAGUGGCGCACGGGUGAGUAAUAUAUAGCUAAUCUUCCCCUUGCUGGAGGACAACAGUUAGAAAUGACUGCUAAUACUCCAUAGCAAGGGAUGAGACUAUAUCGUAUCAGCUAGUCGGUGGGGUAACGGCCUACCGAGGCUAUGACGCGUAACUGGUCUGAGAGGAUGAUCAGUCACAUUGGAACUGAGACACCGGCGAGACUCCUCCCGGAGGGAGCAGUAGGGAAUAGUGCGCAAGGGGGGAAACCGUGACGCAGCAACGCCGCGUAGAGGAUGACACUUGUCGGAGAGUAAACUCCUUUUGUUAGGGACGCGGUACCUAACGAAUAAGCACCGGCUAACUCCGUGCCAGCAGCCGCGGUAAUAC